GAUGAACGCUGGCGGCGUGCCUAAUACAUGCAAGUCGAGCGAACGGACGAGAAGCUUGCUUCUCUGAUGUUAGCGGCGGACGGGUGAGUAACACGUGGAUAACCUACCUAUAAGACUGGGAUAACUUCGGGAAACCGGAGCCAAUACCGGAUAAUAUUUUGAACCGCAUGGUUCAAAAGUGAAAGACGGUCUUGCUGUCACUUAUAGAUGGAUCCGCGCUGCAUUAGCUAGUUGGUAAGGUAACGGCUUACCAAGGCAACGAUGCAUAGCCGACCUGAGAGGGUGAUCGGCCACACUGGAACUGAGACACGGUCCAGACUCCUACGGGAGGCAGCAGUAGGGAAUCUUCCGCAAUGGGCGAAAGCCUGACGGAGCAACGCCGCGUGAGUGAUGAAGGUCUUCGGAUCGUAAAACUCUGUUAUUAGGGAAGAACAUAUGUGUAAGUAACUGUGCACAUCUUGACGGUACCUAAUCAGAAAGCCACGGCUAACUACGUGCCAGCAGCCGCGGUAAUACGUAGGUGGCAAGCGUUAUCCGGAAUUAUUGGGCGUAAAGCGCGCGUAGGCGGUUUUUUAAGUCUGAUGUGAAAGCCCACGGCUCAACCGUGGAGGGUCAUUGGAAACUGGAAAACUUGAGUGCAGAAGAGGAAAGUGGAAUUCCAUGUGUAGCGGUGAAAUGCGCAGAGAUAUGGAGGAACACCAGUGGCGAAGGCGACUUUCUGGUCUGUAACUGACGCUGAUGUGCGAAAGCGUGGGGAUCAAACAGGAUUAGAUACCCUGGUAGUCCACGCCGUAAACGAUGAGUGCUAAGUGUUAGGGGGUUUCCGCCCCUUAGUGCUGCAGCUAACGCAUUAAGCACUCCGCCUGGGGAGUACGACCGCAAGGUUGAAACUCAAAGGAAUUGACGGGGACCCGCACAAGCGGUGGAGCAUGUGGUUUAAUUCGAAGCAACGCGAAGAACCUUACCAAAUCUUGACAUCCUUUGACAACUCUAGAGAUAGAGCCUUCCCCUUCGGGGGACAAAGUGACAGGUGGUGCAUGGUUGUCGUCAGCUCGUGUCGUGAGAUGUUGGGUUAAGUCCCGCAACGAGCGCAACCCUUAAGCUUAGUUGCCAUCAUUAAGUUGGGCACUCUAAGUUGACUGCCGGUGACAAACCGGAGGAAGGUGGGGAUGACGUCAAAUCAUCAUGCCCCUUAUGAUUUGGGCUACACACGUGCUACAAUGGACAAUACAAAGGGCAGCGAAACCGCGAGGUCAAGCAAAUCCCAUAAAGUUGUUCUCAGUUCGGAUUGUAGUCUGCAACUCGACUACAUGAAGCUGGAAUCGCUAGUAAUCGUAGAUCAGCAUGCUACGGUGAAUACGUUCCCGGGUCU
rnacentral:rRNA from 1 species